CAAAUAUAUUUUUAUUUUUAUUUAUUAUUUAUUUAUUUAUUUAUUUUUUGAGAUGGAGUUUCGCUCUUGUUGCCCAGGCUGGAGUGCAAUGGUGAGAUCUCUGCUCACUGCAACCUCCACCUCCCAGGUUCAAGGGAUUCUUGUGCCUCAGCCUCCUGAGUAGCUGAGAUUACAGGCACCCACCACCACGUCCGGCUAAGUUGUUGUUUUUUGUUUUUGUUCUUGUUUUUUUGAGAGAUGGAGUCUUGAUCUGUCACCCAGGCUGGAGUGGAGUGGCGGUAUCUCGGCUCACUGCAACCUCCACCUCCCGGGUUUGAGCGAUUCUCCUGCCUCAGCUUCCCAAGUAGCUGGGACCACAGACGUUUGCCACCACUCCCAGUUAAUUUUUGUAUUUUUUUAGUAGAGUUGGGGUUUCACUAUAUGUUGGCCAGCCUGGUCUCAAACUCCUGACCUCAGGUGAUCUGCCCACCUCGGCCUCCCAAAGUGUUGGGAUUAUAGGCGUGAGCCACCGUGCCUGGCCAAUUUUUUGUAUUUUUUUGUAGAGACGGGGUUUCACCAUGUUGGCCAGGCUGGUCUUGAAUUCCUGGCCUCAGGUUAUCCGCCUGCCUGAGCCUCCCAAAGUGCUGGAUUACAGGCAUGACCCACCAAACCCAGCCCAAAUAUAUUUGCAUAUAUAUAUAUUUUAAUAUCCCACGCCUACACUCUGGGAUAACUCAGCUCUUACAGGCAGUAAUCAUGGGUCAGACCUGCCAUUAUCCAGUUCAGCCCAUUUCAUUUGACAGACACCUGGUGAAUAGAGACAUGCAGGGACUCUUGUCCACAUUUGCCCAGUUGGCUGAUAGCACAGUGUACAAAGUCUGUCUGCAGCAGGUCAUAAUUUCACAGCUCUGCCACAUGCAUGUAUAUCACUGUACCAAGCGUGUUCACAUGGUAUGGUGCUGACCCUCUGUAUGAAGCAUGUUCACGUAGUGCAGUGCUGACUCUGUAUGAAGUGUGUUCACACAAUGAGGUGCUGACCUCAUGUAUGAAGCAUGUUCACACAAUGCGGUGCUGACCCUCUGUAUGAAGCGUGUUCACACGGUGCGGUGCUGACUCUCUGUAUGACACAUGUUCACAGAGUGAGGUGCUGAUCUUCUGUAUGAAGCAUGUUCACAUGGUGCAGUACUGACUCUCUGUUUGAAGUGUGUUCACAUGGUGCAGUGCUGACCUGUAUGAAGGAUGUUCACGCGGUGCGGUGCUGACUCUCUGUAUAACACAUGUUCACGCAGUGAGGUGCUGAUCUUCUGUAUGAAGCAUGUUCACACAGUGCAGUGCUGACUCUCUGUAUGAAGUGUGUUCACACGGUGCAUUGCUGACCUUCUGUAUGAAGUGUGUUCACACAGUGAGGUGCUGAUCUUCUGUAUGAAGCAUGUUCACACGGUGCAGUACUGACUCUCUGUAUGAAGUGUGUUCACACGGUGCGGUGCUGACUCUCUGUAUGAAGCGUGUUCACACAGUGCGGUGCUGACUCUCUGUAUGAAGCAUGUUCACACGGUGCGGUGCUGACUCUCUGUAUGAAGUGUGUUCACCUGGUGCAGUACAGGCUCUCUGCAUGAAGCAUGUUCACACAGUGCGGUGCUGACCCUCUGUAUGAAGCGUGUUCACACAGUGCAUGUGAAACCAGAACCGACAGUCGAACCCAAGCAGAAGUCUUGACCAAGCACUUCCCUCCUGGGAAUGCACCAUGAUAUCACCACACCGAAGUCCAGGCUGGCAAAUAGGGACAUUUAAGUGACAUUUAAGCUCGUGGUGGCCCUAUGAGGAGUCAUUGCUGACUGAGAUGGGAUUUUAAGGUGUUGCCUGCCUGUGUGUUCUCAGACCCUCUCCUGAAGCCCC
rnacentral:lncRNA from 1 species